rnacentral:rRNA from 1 species
AACGAACGCUGGCGGCAUGCCUAACACAUGCAAGUCGAACGAGACCUUCGGGUCUAGUGGCGCACGGGUGCGUAACGCCUGGGAACCUGCCCUUAGGUUCGGUAUAACUCCCCGAAAGGUGUGCUAAUACCGCUUAAUGUCUUCGGACCAAAGAUUUAUCGCCUUUGGAUGGGCCCGCGUUGGAUUAGCUAGUUGGUAGGGUACAAGCCUACCAAGGCGACGAUCCAUAGCUGGUCUGAGAGGAUGAUCAGCCACACUGGGACUGAGACACGGCCCAGACUCCUACGGGAGGCAGCAGUGGGGAAUAUUGGACAAUGGGCGAAAGCCUGAUCCAGCAAUGCCGCGUGAGUGAUGAAGGCCUUAGGGUUGUAAAGCUCUUUUACCCGGGAUGAUAAUGACAGUACCGGGAGAAUAAGCUCCGGCUAACUCCGUG